AGCAGCACUAGAAAUCUUACUAUUAUGAGCCUUUACAUUUUCUUUGCUAGAAUGGACAUACGGCUAAGUGGUCUGUAAUCCCCAUGUCCCUUCUACUACCCUUUUUGAAGAUUGGGACGACUGAUGCCACCCUCCAGUCCCCUGGAAUAUCAUCACUUCUCCAUGAGGCCUCACAGGUGGA